rnacentral:rRNA from 1 species
UGGGGAAUAUUGCACAAUGGGCGCAAGCCUGAUGCAGCCAUGCCGCGUGUAUGAAGAAGGCCUUCGGGUUGUAAAGUACUUUCAGUAGGGAGGAAGGUGGUUAAGUCAAUACCUUAAUCAUUUGACGUUACCUACAGAAGAAGCACCGGCUAACUCCGUGCCAGCAGCCGCGGUAAUACGGAGGGUGCAAGCGUUAAUCGGAAUUACUGGGCGUAAAGCGCAUGCAGGUGGUUUGUUAAGUCAGAUGUGAAAGCCCUGGGCUCAACCUAGGAAUCGCAUUUGAAACUGACAAGCUAGAGUACUGUAGAGGGGGGUAGAAUUUCAGGUGUAGCGGUGAAAUGCGUAGAGAUCUGAAGGAAUACCGGUGGCGAAGGCGGCCCCCUGGACAGAUACUGACACU